UACGAAGGGGGCUAGCGUUGCUCGGAAUCACUGGGCGUAAAGCGCACGUAGGCGGCUUCUUAAGUCAGGGGUGAAAUCCUGGAGCUCAACUCCAGAACUGCCUUUGAUACUGAGGAGCUCGAGUCCGGGAGAGGUGAGUGGAACUGCGAGUGUAGAGGUGAAAUUCGUAGAUAUUCGCAAGAACACCAGUGGCGAAGGCGGCUCACUGGCCCGGUACUGACGCUGAGGUGCGACAGCGUGGGGAGCAAACAGG
rnacentral:rRNA from 1 species